rnacentral:rRNA from 1 species
GUUUGAUCCUGGCUCAGAACGAACGCUGGCGGCGUGCUUAACACAUGCAAGUCAGGGAGAAAGUCUCUUCGGGGAUGAUUAAACCGGCGCACGGGUGAGUAACACGUGAGUGACCUGCCUUUUAGACUGGAACAACUUACCGAAAGGUGAGCUAAUGCCGGAUGAGUUAUAUAAGUGCAUGUUUAUAUAGGAAAAGUUGGGGAGACCUGACGCUGAAAGAUGGACUCGCGUCCCAUUAGCUAGUUGGUAGGGUAAUGGCCUACCAAGGCGACGAUGGGUAGCCGGCCUGAGAGGGUGGCCGGCCACACUGGGACUGAGACACGGCCCAGACUCCUACGGGAGGCAGCAGUGGGGAAUUUUGCGCAAUGCUCGUAAGAGUGACGCAGCGACGCCGCGUGAAUGACGAAGGCCUUCGGGUCGUAAAGUUCUUUCGACAGGGAAGAAAAUGCCUAUAAGUAACUGUGUAUGUAUUGACGGUACCUGUAUAAGCAGCCCCGGCUAACUCCGUGCCAGCAGCCGCGGUAAUACGGAGGGGGCGAGCGUUGUUCGGAGUGACUGGGCGUAAAGAGCACGUAGGCGGUGUUGUAAGUCAUUAGUCAAAGACUAGAGCUCAACUUUAGUAAGGCUAGUGAUACUAUAAUACUAGAGUAUCAGAGAGGAUUGCAGAAUUCCUGGUGUAGCGGUGAAAUGCGUAGAUAUCAGGAGGAAUACCGUUAGCGAAGGCGGCAAUCUGGCUGGAAACUGA